GUGCAAAUCACUGCAGUGGAAUGAUGCAGUGGGGCAUAAGGACAAUGAAUCAGGAAGGCAUGGUCCAGUUGGACAGCAGCAGAGUUGGGGAAAGUUGUAUGCAAUCACAUCAAUCAAUUAAACAACUGGAAAAUAUGCACUGAGUGCUUAGUGUGUUUUUACUUAAAAUAUGCUUAGGAAACAGCAAACGACUGGACUGAGUAUUAACCGACUAUAAAAAGAGAUCACAGGCAUGGAAAUUCAUGUAGGCUGGACAGGAAGAAGAUGACUUCACCUAUUAAGUAGGAUUUAUGGACAGCCUUUUUGAUUUCUUAAGAAAUGAAUGCUACCUGGAAAUGGGAGAAGUAGGGCAUUCUGAAGAAAAAAGACAAACUAAACAGACAGCAGGAAGUAGUGGUCAAAACAUCUAAGAGGUGGAAUAUGGAGGCUAUUGAAAAACCACCCUCUUUCCCAUUUAUCUACAACUCUAGCU
rnacentral:lncRNA from 1 species